rnacentral:rRNA from 1 species
UUAACAAAAACAUGUCCUUUUGAUUUUUAUUUAAGGUCUAAUCUGCUCAAUGAUUAUUUAAAUUGCCGCAGUAUUUUAACUGUGCGAAGGUAGCAUAAUAAUUAGUUUCUUAAUUGGGGGCCGGAAUGAAUGAUUGGACGAAAAAGUUACUGUCUCUUUUUAAUGUUUUAUUGAAUUUUAUUUUUAAGUUAAAAAGCUUAAAUUUUAAUGAAAGACGAGAAGACCCUAUAGAGUUUUAUAUUAAAAUAUAAUUGAUUUUUAGAAAUAAAUUUUAGUUUUUGAUAUUUAGUUGGGGUGACUUGGAGAUUUACUUAAUUCUUUAAAUUUUUAAUUGAUGAUAUUUAAUUUUUUAAUCUGCAAAUUGUAAAUUUAUUAUAAAUUACCUUAGGGAUAACAGCGUAAUUUUUCUUGGAAGUUCUUAUUCAAAGAAGAUUUUGCGACCUCGAUGUUGGAUUAAAAUAAAUUUUUGGUGCAGUAACUUAAAAAUUAGGUCUGUUCGACCUUUAAAAUUUUACAUGAUCUGAGUUUAAACCGGUGUAAGCCAGGUUGGAUUCUAUCUUUAGUAAGUUUAUUCAUCUUAGUACGAAAGGACCAGAUGUUUAUUAGAUAUUAAUUG